rnacentral:rRNA from 1 species
AUGGCAGAAUGCUUCAAUAAGGUGCUCAAGGGUGUAUGUGCAUUACCCGUGACGGCAAUAGUUCAAUACACAUUUGACAAGUUGAAUGAAUACUUUUUAAAGCACUCAAUGGAGACUGAUAAGCAGAUUGCUGGUGAGAACAAGGAUAAGCACAAGUACAAUUUCCCACCAAAGGUUGAAGAAUGGUUGGAAUUUCAAUCACGAAAGGCAGACUCCGAAGAAGCUGUACUAUAUGACGACAACAAGUGGAAGUAUGAGGUGAAAGAGCCCGAAGGAACCACAAACGAUGGCCGCCAACACGGAGGCCGGGCUUUCAAGGUCUCCCUAACACGGUGUGAUUGCAGCUGCAUGAGGCCGUCUUUGCUUCAUCUUCCAUGCUCGCACUUGUUAAAUGCAUCCCGGGUUAGGAAUGUGGACGUCAAUCACCCUCUUACCGUGAGGGAGUCCGAGUUCUUAAUCAUGACGGUAAAGAAUACAUGGACUCCACGGUUCCAGCCAUACUUGGACCAAUCACAAUGGCCGGAGUAUCAUGGAGUUCAACUAUGGCCGGACCCG